rnacentral:snoRNA from 1 species
UGCAAAUGAUGUAAAAGAAUAUUUGCUAUCUGAUGAGUGAUGCUGACGCAUUUCCACCAAGAUCGCUGAUGCA